CUACGGGUGGCUGCAGUGGGCAAUAUUGGGCAAUGGGCGCAAGCCUGACCCAGCAACGCCGCGUGAGGGAAGAAUGUCUUCGGAUUGUAAACCUCUGUCCUUGGGGACGAAAAAAAUGACGGUACCCAAGGAGGAAGCUCCGGCUAACUACGUGCCAGCAGCCGCGGUAAUACGUAGGGAGCAAGCGUUGUCCGGAAUUAUUGGGCGUAAAGGGUGCGUAGGCGGGGCUGUAAGUCAGAUGUGAAAUCCCCGGGCUUAACUCGGGAGUUGCAUUUGAAACUACAGUGCUUGAGUAAAGAAGGGGUAAGUGGAAUUCCUAGUGUAGCGGUGGAAUGCGUAGAUAUUAGGAGGAACACCAGUGGCGAAGGCGACUUACUGGUCUUUUACUGACGCUGAGGCACGAAAGCGCGGGGAGCAAACAGGAUUAGAUACCCGAGUAGUC
rnacentral:rRNA from 1 species